CAUACUGUAAAGCAGCAGGAGCUCUUCAGGCCAAAUCGCAUCUUCUAAGCGUUCAGGUGCAGUUGCUCAGAACACUUGGAAUGAAAGUUGCAGACGGUGCGGCCCGGCUGAAGGUUCACCGUGAUCUCAUAGCCCUAAAGAAUGGGUCCAUUUAGGUCCGGAACCGUCCCGAAGCUUCCUACUGUACGUCCCCUUCCUUUGGGGCGGGUUUCGAACCAUAAGCAACACCACAUGACGGGGAACGAGCCCACCCGCCCGCUAACGAGGACCUCGUGGCUGCGGGGCUCCUCGCGGAAUGCGAGCGCGACCCCGUGUUUCCGCACGCGUCGGCGAAAGCACAACUUUUGUGCUUGCGUUGCCGAGCUCCAGCGCGCAUCUUGUUUACCGCCGUGCAGCCCCUCCAGCAGCGGGGCCCCCGGACCCGCUCACAAGUGUCUCUUUGUGGAAGCGUCAGACCUCAUCUCCACGGGGCGCGAGCUCGAAGCCCAGCCGUGCGCGUCGUUCCCCGACUCCUCUCGCUGCACGGAUGACAUUCUACCGCUGUUCACCGGGACGGUGCUCGCUCGCUCACAGACGUGUCCUUUGCAGGUGUAAUAAGGGGCCCGACCGCUGUGCUCCGGCCCACCGGGCUUCUGAAGGUGAGACUUGGCAACGACCUCUUCACGCUUCGCUUUGACAUUUACAACGGGGCGACUUCCAUUGUCCUUUGCUCGCCAGGGUAAAAACACAAUCAGUAUGAAGUUUUCCUCCUUUAACACCUUUC